GACAGAGGGUGCAAACGUUGUUCGGAAUUACUGGGCGUAAAGCGCGUGUAGGCGGCACGGCAAGUCGGAUGUGAAAGCCCGCGGCUCAACCGUGGAAGUGCACUCGAAACUGCCGAGCUAGAGUCCCGGAGAGGAAGGUGGAAUGCUUGGUGUAGAGGUGAAAUUCGUAGAUAUCAAGCAGAACACCUGUGGCGAAGGCGGCCUUCUGGACGGUGACUGACGCUGAGACGCGAAAGCGUGGGGAGCAAACAGG
rnacentral:rRNA from 1 species